rnacentral:rRNA from 1 species
AGGACAAACGCUGGCGGCGUGCCUAAGACAUGCAAGUCGGACGGGGGGCUUCGGCUCCUAGUGGCGGACGGGUGAGGAGCGCGUGGAGAACCUGCCCCGGGGUGGGGGAUACCCGCCAGAAAUGGCGGUUAAGACCGCAUACGACGGCACCGUGCAGGCGGUGUUGGGAAAGCAGUGAUGUGCCCUGGGAGGGCUCCGCGUCGGAUUAGCUAGUUGGUGGGGUAACGGCCUACCAAGGCGACGAUCCGUAGCUGGUCUGAGAGGACGGCCAGCCACACUGGGACUGAGACACGGCCCAGACUCCUACGGGAGGCAGCAGUUAGGGAAUUUUGACAAUGGGCGCAAGCCUGAUCGAGUGACGCCGCGUGCGGGAUGACGCCUUUCGGGGUGUAAACCGCUUUUCCCAGGGACGAGGAGGGACGGUACCUGGGGAAGAAGUCUCGGCUAACUACGCGCCAGCAGCCGC